rnacentral:rRNA from 1 species
UACAGAGGGCGCGAGCGUUGUCCGGAAUCACUGGGCGUAAAGGGCGCGUAGGCGGCCACGCACGUCCGUUGUGAAAUCGCCCGGCUCAACUGGGCGGGGUCAGCGGAUACGGUGUGGCUAGAGCAAGCUAGGGGGCAAUGGAAUUCCCGGUGUAGUGGUGGAAUGCGUAGAUAUCGGGAGGAACACCAGUGGCGAAGGCGGUUGCCUGGAGCUUUGCUGACGCUGAUGCGCGAAAGCGUGGGGAGCGAUCCGG